rnacentral:rRNA from 1 species
AUUGAACGCUGGCGGCAUGCCUUACACAUGCAAGUCGAACGGCAGCACGGGAGCAAUCCUGGUGGCGAGUGGCGAACGGGUGAGUAAUAUAUCGGAACGUGCCCAGUCGUGGGGAUAACGUAGCGAAAGUUACGCUAAUACCGCAUACGCACUAAGGUGGAAAGUGGGGGAUUCGCAAGAACCUCAUGCUCAUGGAGUGGCCGAUAUCUGAUUAGCUAGUUGGUGAGGUAAAGGCUCACCAAGGCGACGAUCAGUAGCUGGUUUGAGAGAACGACCAGCACACUGGAACUGAGACACGGUCCAGACUCCUACGGGAGGCAGCAGUGGGGAAUUUUGGACGAAAUGGGGGCGAACCCUGAUCCAGCAAUGCCGCGUGAGUGAAGAAGG